rnacentral:miRNA from 1 species
UACCCUGUAGUUCCGAGCCGUGUA